GCUCCCGACAUGUGCCUCCGGUUGCUGCUGGUCCUGGACAUCGUUGCCCUUGCCCUGCAUGGAAGGUUCAUUUGUUACCUUGCUUUUUCCCCAGGCCUCACGUGGCGAUUGCCUGCUGUCAGGCAAAGGAUGUUGGAAUUGGGUUGCAGGUCCUCCGGGCUGCCCUUGUCGUCCAGCUCGGCGAAGCGACAACCUCUCGCCAUGCGCUUCAGCAUCCAGUGCACCAGGGGGUUCACCUGGCAGCCAUGGAUCACCUUGCUGCACCAGUUCUUCAUCGGCACUAGGAAGCCAUGAUCAGAAAGCAUGAUGAAGAUGCUUUCGGCGUCAUCUCUGCUGUCAGCAGCGUCUGCGCCUUUACCCUGCAGCGCCGGCGAAUCACUUGUUUCGCCACCGCCAGAAAGAGCCCGCGCUGGAUCACUCCGGUGCCGGAGGUUGAACUCCGCGACCCACCAAUAGAUCAUGAUCUGCUUCUUGACCUCGGAGGCGAGCUCGAAGAUGGAGAAGGAUCUUACCUGCAGCCCAUAGCGAGAGCAGAAAGUCGGCAGGCUUCGUGAGAGCAUUCAGAUUUCAGAUUCACUGAGAGCGAUCUGAAUUCAGAUGUUUUGUCACGUUUGUUUGGUUUUUUUUUUUUUUACCCCUUGAUACACCAUAUGUAGGCAGCUGAGAGUCAUGGAAUCGGAAACGACGGUUGCUUGCAGUUGCAGCCGGUAUGUGUUCCUCAGAAUCUUGCAGAUAAUAGCUCAUUGAAGUGUUGUGCAAGCUUAGAACAAAUCCCUCAACUCCAGCUCCUGCCUUUGAAACCUGCAAAGCAAGAAUCAGAUCCUGUCAUCAGUGCACAACGUACACUCAUGUAGGGCAACCAAACCAUAUAUACGACGAAAGACAUCUCAACCCACAAGUAGGUUAAAAAGUAACGGUAAGCUGUCAUGAUUCAUGAACC